GACGAACGCUGGCGGCGUGCUUAACACAUGCAAGUCGAACGGAAAGGCCCUGCUUUUGUGGGGUGCUCGAGUGGCGAACGGGUGAGUAACACGUGAGUAACCUGCCCUUGACUUUGGGAUAACUUCAGGAAACUGGGGCUAAUACCGGAUAGGAGCUCCUGCUGCAUGGUGGGGGUUGGAAAGUUUCGGCGGUUGGGGAUGGACUCGCGGCUUAUCAGCUUGUUGGUGGGGUAGUGGCUUACCAAGGCUUUGACGGGUAGCCGGCCUGAGAGAGUGACCGGCCACAUUGGGACUGAGAUACGGCCCAGACUCCUACGGGAGGCAGCAGUGGGGAAUAUUGCACAAUGGGCGGAAGCCUGAUGCAGCAACGCCGCGUGCGGGAUGACGGCCUUCGGGUUGUAAACCGCUUUCGCCUGUGACGAAGCGUGAGUGACGGUAAUGGGUAAAGAACCACCGGCUAACUACGUG
rnacentral:rRNA from 1 species